rnacentral:ncRNA from 1 species
GUAGACCAAGUAAAUAUUAAUCGUAUAAUUUUGGGGAUAUGGCCCAGAAGUCUCUACCGGCAACCGUAAAUUGCCUGUCUACGUCUCUUUGCUACCCCGAA